GUCCUACGGUUCGCAUCAUUUUUUAAUAUUGCACAAUGGGGGGAACCCUGAUGCAGCGACGCCGCGUGAGCGAAGAAGUAUUUCGGUAUGUAAAGCUCUAUCAGCAGGGAAGAAAAUGACGGUACCUGACUAAGAAGCCCCGGCUAACUACGUGCCAGCAGCCGCGGUAAUACGUAGGGGGCAAGCGUUAUCCGGAUUUACUGGGUGUAAAGGGAGCGCAGGCGGCGCGGUAAGUAUGAUGUGAAAGCCCGGGGCUCAACCCCGGGACUGCAUUGGAAACUGUCGUGCUGGAGUGUCGGAGGGGC
rnacentral:rRNA from 1 species